rnacentral:lncRNA from 13 species
CUGUCACUAACUACUGUUCAAUCACAUAGUCACACACUGUCAUUAACUACUGUUCAGUCACAUAGUCACAUACUGUCACUAACUACUGUUCAAUCACAUAGUCACAUACUGUCACUAACUACUGUUCAGUCACAUAGUCACAUACUGUCACUAACUACUGUUCAAUCACAUAGUCACAUACUGUCACUAACUACUGUUCAAUCACAUAGACUGUCACUAACUACUGUUCAGUCACACACACUGUCACUAACUACUGUUCAAUCACAUAGUCACACACUGUCAUUAACUACUGUUCAGUCACAUAGUCACAUACUGUCACUAACUACUGUUCAAUCACAUAGUCACAUACUGUCACUAACUACUGUUCAGUCACAUAGUCACAUACUGUCACUAACUACUGUUCAAUCACAUAGUCACAUACUGUCACUAACUACUGUUCAAUCACAUAGACUGUCACUAACUACUGUUCAGUCACACACACUGUCACUAACUACUGUUUAGUCACACAGACUGUCACUAACUACUGUUUAGUCACACAGACUGUCACUAACUACUGUUCAGUCAUACAGACUGUCACUAACUAC